rnacentral:rRNA from 1 species
UACGUAGGGGGCGAGCGUUGUCCGGAGUUACUGGGCGUAAAGGGCGCGCAGGCGGUCUGGUAAGUUUGGCGUGACAGUGCUCGGCUUAACUGAGCAAGGCCUUCGAAAACUGUCAGACUUGAGCACUCAAGAGGGACAUAGAAUUCCGGGUGGAGUGGUGAAAUGCGUAGAUAUCCGGAGGAAUACCAAAGGCGAAGGCAGUGUCCUGGGGAGUGUCUGACGCUCAGGCGCGAAAGCUAGGGGAGCGAACAGG